rnacentral:ncRNA from 1 species
AAGUACCUCCGAGUCUUCAGUCGAUGAAGAUAGGAGUAACGGCUGGUUGGCACAGCCUGUGGUUCGUUUGUUCGACAAAACCCGAGGAAGCUUCCUCCCGUCAGAACAGGCGACCCACGAACCUUAAUAUCCCAACUGCGGCAGGGAAUCCUCGCCCUUCAGGGCGGGGA